rnacentral:lncRNA from 1 species
UAUGAAAUCAUAACCUUACAUUCUUUGUAUUAAAAGUCUUAAAAAAAAAAAAAAGUAUUAGGAUUGACAGCGGUCUGAUGGCCCCCAGUGUUGCUCACGAUGGCUUGAGCGCCAUACCAUAGCCAGUGGUUAGGCAGCUUCCACAGAAUGGUUACGGAAAGACUGCUGAAUGUUUCUGUCUUAGUAUUAUAUGCAUUGUUAGGCAAGAGCAGAGAGGAGAGAUGAAGAGAGAACUCAUUGUGCUGUUUGGUUGAUUACAAACAUCACUCACCCCCAUGGUGUUAUGAUGGGCAAUCUGUAAUGCUCUUUGAAAACGACCAAGCUUCACUUGUUAUGCAAUUUGGGGGGGAGGGGGGGGAAGGUGGAGGUAGAAAAGAUGGCCAUUGAUCAGCGAUCAUUUAGUCUGAGUUUUUUCUGCAAUAUCUGGAAUGGGUUUCCAGAAAUGGUUGAAGUUUUGUUUGUCCAGUUUUAAAAAACAUUUCAUUCAGAAGCUUUUUAGGUUCAUUCAGUACUUUUAAAAGCUGAAUUUCAGAGCUGCUAACCUAUUUUGUUAUUAGGUAGGUUGUUUAAAAGCUAGCAUUAAGUUAAGAGGUCAGGGGCAAUAUUCCAUUGCUGAGAGUAAAGGCGGGGUGUAUAUAAUUUCCCUUUUGCCUGAUGCUACCAUUGAAUGUUCCAGAUGGCACAGUUUGCAAAAAUAUAUUUGCAUCUACUACAGAUUUGGAAGAAAAUGGAUGCAGCAGUAGUGUUGCAGUUCAGCACUAUUUUUCCUUAAUGUUUUAGGAGCUUCUUUAAAAGUUUAAAAAAAAUGGUUCAAAGAACACAACUUUCUUAAAUGACAGUAAAUAUUUAGACGUUCUCUAGGACAGUUUAGCAGAUAAGAUUAUUCUAGUCCUACUUGACUAACAUUAAUUAAAAGGUGCAAUUUUAUGCCAUUGUUGAAAAUACCAAUUUUAUAAUGUAAAGAUGCAUUUUCAUUCUGAGGCAGUAUUUAUGCAGUAUUUAACCACAAUAAUAUGCUGCCAAUAGAAAUGACUCAAAAGAUGGAACUUCGUAUACAUUUAAAAUAUGCAUCCUUUAAAAUGAUGCUUUGUGUUAGCAUGCUGCAAAUCAAAAUGGCAAUUAAUAUAACAAGCUGAUCUAGGGCUAUUUAAUGAAUACAUAAAUGUUAUGCAUAUAAUGUGUAUGUUUUUACUUUUUUUUUUUUUUUUUAAAGUUGCUUCAUGUUUGCACACAGGUGUUGUCCACAUGAUUUAAAAAAAUGGAAAUUUUACUUCAUUCCUAUAGCGUGGCUUUGUAAUUCAGACAACCUUCAUCCUUUUGGUUUUGUUCCAGAUGAGAAUCGGUUCUUUGAGAAUAACUUUUUUUUAAUCUUUUUGAAAUCUCAAAAGAUUAAAUUUGAAACAAACAAAAAUGGGUUUUAUGUGUCUGUAAAUGAUACACACGCUGUAACAUAAAAUUGUCACUGUUAUGUGGGACUAUUAUUUCUAAAUGUUAUUGUAACGGGCAUACAAUAAAAAGUAUCUCUUGCACUUGAUGCUUUUAUGGAGUCUUUCUUGAUUAAUUUCUGAUGCCUGAAAAAUGUUUGCUUUCAGUUUAUUGGAAUAAUUCUUCCUUUAGGAAAUGGCUUUGUUUAUAAUUACUCUUGAGUCAAUUUUUUUUUUAAAAAGUCUUGUUUUCUAAUUUUCUUGGUUUCAAAACAAUGUAAAUUGUCAAUAAUGUGGGUCACAGUCAUCUCGCUAACUCUUGUUUCUACUGCUUAGUCAUUGUGGCACCUGACUGGAAAACCAAAGGAUCUAGAGCUCUGUGAACCGAUUUUAUGCUAACC